AUCGGUUCAGUUCAAGGUUUUGAAUGAACAGUCCUAAGCAUCACAGUCUCACAACUCACAUAAUUAUAUUAACCGGAGCUUCCUUGACUAUUUCCUAAUCACCCCAUACAAGCUAAUGGAUUUUUUAUUCACAGUUAAAGAGGAAAACUAAAUCCUUUAUAUCGAUUUUUCAAAACUCUUCAAGACAAAGACACUUCAAACACUAACCAAUGUCUAUGAAGACAACUGAACAGAAACAAAUAAGAUUUCGUAUCAGCCCACAAACAUAGCUAGAAUAAUAUGAACUAUAAUAUAUUGUAUAUUAAGCACAAAGUAUAGUUCAAUCUUACUUCAUUAUCAUUAGGAGCAUCAGUUGUAGGAGCUGAUAUCAAAGCUUGCAGAGUCUCCACAUCUAAGUUUGCGGUGUUUUGGUUCACAAUGGUUUAAGAAGAAUCUGAAGUUUUCUUUCCGUUGCUUCCUUAUCCUGACGACGUUUCUCCUCCAUCUCUUGUCUCAACAACUCUAAGAGACCAUGUAAUGACACAUUGCUCCAACCAUGAAGGCACUUCAAUAAAUAUAGACGAAUGGUGAACGAC
rnacentral:lncRNA from 1 species